rnacentral:rRNA from 1 species
CGGCCACACUGGAACUGAGACACGGUCCAGACUCCUACGGGAGGCAGCAGUAGGGAAUCUUCCGCAAUGGGCGAAAGAGUCCCUGGGAGCAACGCCGCGUGAGUGAUGAAGGUCUUCGGAUCGUAAAGCUCUGUUGUUAGGGAAGAACAAAUGUGUAAGUAACUGUGCACAUCUUGACGGUACAACUAACCAGAAAGCCACGGCUAACUACGCGCGUGCCAGCAGCCGCGGUAAUACGUAGGUGGCAAGCGUUAUCCGGAAUUAUUGGGCGUAAAGCGCGCGUAGGCGGUUUUUUAAGUCUGAUGUGAAUGCAAAGCCCACGGCUCAACCGUGGAGGGUCAUUGGAAACUGGAAAACUUGAGUGCAGAAGAGGAAAGUGGAAUUCCAUGUGUAGCGGUGAAAUGCGCAGAGAUAUGGAGGAACACCAGUGGCGAAGGCGGCUUUCUGGUCUGUAACUGACGCUGAUGUGCGAAAGCGUGGGGAUCAAACAGGAUUAGAUACCCUGGUAGUCCACGCGCCGUAAACGAUGAGAGGUUCCAAAGUGUUAAGGGGGUUUCCGCCCCUUAGUGCUGCAGCUAACGCAUUAAGCACUCCGCCUGGGGAGCGGUCGCAAGACUGAAACUCAAAGGAAUUGACGGGGACCCGCACAAGCAGUCGGUGGAGCAUGUGGUUUAAUUCGAAGCAACGCGAAGAACCUUACCAAAUCUUGACAUCUUUGACCACUCUAGAGAUAGAGUUUUCCUCUUCGGAGGACAAGUAAAUGACAGGUGGUGCAUGGUUGUCGUCAGCUCGUGUCGGCGAGAUGUUGGGUUAAGUCCCGCAACGAGCGCAACCCUUGAGCUUGUACUAGUCCGUA